rnacentral:rRNA from 1 species
GCGGCAGACGGAGUGAGUAAACGCGUGAAGAACGUUACCUUUUGGUUCGGAACAACUGAGGGAAACUUCAGCUAAUACCGGAUAAGCCCUUACGGGGAAAGAUUUAUCGCCGAAAGAUCGGCCCGCGUCUGAUUAGCUAGUUGGUGAGGUAAUGGCUCACCAAGGCGACGAUCAGUAGCUGGUCUGAGAGGAUGAUCAGCCACAUUGGGACUGAGACACGGCCCAAACUCCUACGGGAGGCAGCAGUGGGGAAUAUUGGACAAUGGGCGCAAGCCUGAUCCAGCCAUGCCGCGUGAGUGAUGAAGGCCCUAGGGUUGUAAAGCUCUUUUGUGCGGGAAGAUAAUGACGGUACCGCAAGAAUAAGCCCCGGCUAACUUCGUGCCAGCAGCCGCGGUAAUACGAAGGGGGCUAGCGUUGCUCGGAAUCACUGGGCGUAAAGGGUGCGUAGGCGGGUCUUUAAGUCAGGGGUGAAAUCCUGGAGCUCAACUCCAGAACUGCCUUUGAUACUGAAGAUCUUGAGUUCGGGAGAGGUGAGUGGAACUGCGAGUGUAGAGGUGAAAUUCGUAGAUAUUCGCAAGAACACCAGUGGCGAAGGCGGCUCACUGGCCCGAUACUGACGCUGAGGCACGAAAGCGUGGGGGAGCAAACAGGAUUAGAUACCCUGGUAGUCCACGCCGUAAACGAUGAAUGCCAGCCGUUAGUGGGUUUACUCACUAGUGGCGCAGCUAACGCUUUAAGCAUUCCGCCUGGGGAGUACGGUCGCAAGAUUAAAACUCAAAGGGAAUUGGACGGGGGGCCCGGCACAAGCGGUGGGAGGCAUGUGGUUUAAUUCCGACGCAAC